rnacentral:rRNA from 1 species
AAGAUGGCGACCGGCGCACGGGUGAGUAACACGUAUCCAACCUGCCGAUAACUCCGGAAUAGCCUUUCGAAAGAAAGAUUAAUACCGGAUGGCAUACGAAUAUCGCAUGAUAUUUUUAUUAAAGAAUUUCGGUUAUCGAUGGGGAUGCGUUCCAUUAGUUUGUUGGCGGGGUAACGGCCCACCAAGACUACGAUGGAUAGGGGUUCUGAGAGGAAGGCCCCCCACAUUGGAACUGAGACACGGUCCAA